GUGACCUCAAAUCAGGUAGGACUACCCGCUGAACUUAAGCAUAUCAAUAAGCGGAGGAAAAGAAACUAACAAGGAUUCCCCUAGUAACUGCGAGUGAAGCGGGACAAGCUCAAAUUUAAAAUCUGUCAGCCUUUGGCUGUCCGAGUUGUAAUCUAGAGAAGUGUAAUCCGCGCUGGACCGUGUGCAAGUCUCCUGGAAUGGAGCGUCAUAGAGGGUGAGAAUCCCGUCUUUGACACGGACUGCCAGGGCUUUGUGAUGCGCUCUCAAAGAGUCGAGUUGUUUGGGAAUGCAGCUCAAAAUGGGUGGUAAAUUCCAUCUAAAGCUAAAUAUUGGCGAGAGACCGAUAGCGAACAAGUACCGUGAGGGAAAGAUGAAAAGAACUUUGGAAAGAGAGUUAAACAGUACGUGAAAUUGCUGAAAGGGAAACGCUUGAAGUCAGUCGCGUUAUCCAGGGAUCAACCUUGCUUUUGCUUGGUGUACUUUCUGGUUAAUGGGUCAGCAUCAAUUUUGACUAUUGGAAAAAGAUCAGGGGAAUGUGGCAUCUUCGGA
rnacentral:rRNA from 1 species